UACGGAGGGGGCGAGCGUUGUCCGAAGUUACUGGGCGUAAAGCGUGCGCAGGCGGUUUUGUAAGUCUGUCGUGAAAGCCCCGGGCUCAACCUGGGAAUGGCGAUGGAGACUGCAAGGCUAGAGUGUGUCAGAGGGGGGUAGAAUUCCACGUGUAGCAGUGAAAUGCGUAGAUAUGUGGAGGAACACCGAUGGCGAAGGCAGCCCCCUGGGAUAACACUGACGCUCAUGCACGAAAGCGUGGGGAGCAAACAGG
rnacentral:rRNA from 1 species